GAUAAGAGGGCUUACCAUUAGUGGACCCUCAGAGAGGAUGAGAGAAGAGGUGUGCAAGCAUGUCACGCCACGCUGCGGUCAUCAUCAGGGAUUUACUUACAAAUCAUGACAGAUAUUUCUAAUAAGAUAUUGUCACCAACAAUAUUUAAAGCCAAAGGUGCUUCCUCAAAGUAUUGGUGAUUGUGCGAUUGUGCGUGUGUGUGUGUGCUUGUGUGAUUUACCAGGAAAGAAUUCCUGCUGAGCCCGACCAGACGGACCUGGAAGGAUUCAGGAAUGCCACUCCAAGCUCACUGUUCACCCACAGAGUGGCCUGUUCCCAAAACAACAUGGAGGGCAAUUUUUUUUUGAAAAUUCCUUAAAAGGAAGCUGGCAUGAACAAUGGUGGAACGCUUCAGAGUAAACAGUGUUCUCUGCGCAGCUGCUCCUGCAGAUCUGUCGGCCCAGUAUUCACAUCAGACACCUCUCUCCGAUGGAAUGCCUCAAUCCACGGCCCCACUCCUCCUGUGUAUCACAGAGCACGUGUCGGGGUCAACUCCGGCUCUUCCAGGUCAACAAUAGCCCGACAUUUGUGAGAAAGAAACGGCUUGCUUUUGCUCUGCGUUCGGUAGACGUUACAGGAUAAAAGGAACGUAAAGCUUAUAGAUGACAUAGUUUCGAAUUAUGCCUAUAUGGCCAAAAUGGAUUCCUGGUAAUGCAUUUCGCAGCUGCCAGGCUACCAAUUAUAUGUAACUCAACUGCAAUCUCACCAAUAAGAGGGCUAGGACUAGCCAUUCCAAGUAAAGACCAAGCAGCUGAUCAAGUGCCUAUCUAAGCUAUGCUCUGUAACAUGCGUCCAAUUAAAAGUUUUCAUAUUUUUUGAGAAUUCUUUGGAGAGUGUGUAAUGGUAGAAUUUGUUUGGAGGACAUUGAAAAGUGGAAUAAAGUGAAAUGUCCCGCAGGGCCAGUUUGUUCACUUUUAAAAAAUGCCUUCCAUUCAGAAUUCCAUCCAAAUGACAUCUUGUUUUUAUGGUUACACCUUUUUUACCGGUGGAAUUCCCAAAUUUUUAAUGAGCAGUCUGUCUAACAAGACUUUAAUGAAGCCGCCACUCCACCCACUCACCCCACACACUUCCCAUUUCGAAAGAUCCUCCCAAAACACACAUUCAGUAUGAGACACAUACAGACUGCACACUCAGAGGUCCCCCACCCUAUCCAUUUUCAGCGUUCCACAUCAGCUGGGCCAAGCUUUUAAUCUGCCCGGUGACAUCCCUGUGUUUCCGCUAUGGGCAGAAGGAGAGAUAAGCACACCACUCUCCGUGGUAAAUCACUCCACACACGCCGACUCAUUCACUGGUUUGGCUAAUAUUCAAUUAGCCUGCUCUCAUUGUGGCUCCAAUACACUAGCAGUCUUCAACAGUCAGACGACAAAAAUGGUUUCUAGAGCUUUUAGCCAAUUGCUUGUUAUUGCAAUACAAGCUACGUGUUGAAUCCUGCAUCAAGUAAUACGUGACCACUUACAUAGCCUUCGUGGGAAACAAUACGUCUUGUCAUGAAGCCCGCGGUGAAAUUAAUUGUGAACAAAAUGACAGAAGUCCUCAUUAUAGGACUGACUCAUUGCUAGUCUUUCAUUGAAUCCCACAGAGCUCUUCAGAGAACACUCCCAACACAAAACAAGCUUGAGGAGAAAGGACUUGCAGACAGUCAUCUGAUCAUCUAAACAUGUUUCGGUAGCAUCCCACUGCAAUGAUUUACAUUUCACAGUCUUUUCCGUUGAC